CAGCAGCCACGGGAAUACGAAGGGGGCUAGCGUUGUUCGGAUUUACUGGGCGUAAAGCGCACGUAGGCGGAUCCUUAAGUCAGAGGUGAAAUCCCAAGGCUCAACCUUGGAACUGCCUUUGAUACUGGGGAUCUCGAGUUCGGGAGAGGUGAGUGGAACUGCGAGUGUAGAGGUGAAAUUCGUAGAUAUUCGCAAGAACACCAGUGGCGAAGGCGGCUCACUGGCCCGAUACUGACGCUGAGGUGCGAAAGCGUGGGGAGCAAACAGGAUUAGAUACCCGGGUAGUCCCUGUCUCUUAUAC
rnacentral:rRNA from 1 species